UGGAAAGUUCUUGCCUACCCUGUUG
rnacentral:piRNA from 1 species